rnacentral:misc_RNA from 1 species
CAAAGAAAGAAACACCGAGUAGUAGACGAGCGAUGUAACAAAACACAAACCCAGAAAUGUCUCUGAAGAAGACAUCACAGAGAGACAGAGAGAGAAAGGAAAAGAGAUGGGGAUCUCGUGAUAUAAAAGGAGGAAGCAAAGAAUGAAUGCGAGUGUUGAGGGAGGGAAAGAAGGAAGGAAGGGAAAUGAAAGGAAAGGAGAGGGGGUUUAGCUUACAGACUAGAGAGAGGAUAAGAAGAGAAAGGAAAAGAGUUUUAAUUUUUUUUUCUCUUAUCGUUUUAUCUUUGCCCUCACCUGCUGCUUCACGAGACAAGUUUCACUUCUCUCUCUAUCUGUCAAGUGCCACUUCUCU